GGGCUCGGAAAGACCGGUGCCAGCCGCCGCGGUAUUACCGGCAGCUCGAGUGGUCCUCGCUUUUAUUGGGCCUAAAACGUCCGUAGCCUUUUUGGUAAAUCUGUGGGUAAAUCAACCAGCUUAGGUGGUUGAAUUGUGCAGCCACGCCCAGACUAGGGACCGGGAGAGGUGUGGGGUACUUUAGGGGUAGAGGUGAAAUCCUAUCAUCCUUAGAGGACCACCGGUUCCGAAGGCCCCACACUGGAACGGAUCUCCCGGUCAGGCACGCAGCUUAGGGGCACGAACCGGAUUAGAUACCCGGGUAGUCCUAGGUGUAAACGCUGCCAACUUGUUUUCGGGAGUCCGCAAUGGGCCCCCGGUGCCGGUGUGAAGAUGUUAAAUUCACUUCCUGGGGAGUACCCUCGCAAGG
rnacentral:rRNA from 1 species